AAUAAGUGCAGUUUUGUAUUGUUCAUGUCUCACGUUUGACCGUUCGUCUUAUUUAUUUUUUUCUAGAUUAACAUUUUUAUUGCUAUUAGAUGAUAAAACAUGAAUAGUAUUUUAUGUGUGACUAGCUUAUUAUAAUUUUCUCACAAAUUUUUAAAUUAGACGGACGGUCAGAGACUUUGGACACGGAUUCUCACGGCUACCCCUCCU
rfam:Oryza meridionalis cultivar OR44 (W2112) chromosome 1, whole genome shotgun sequence.